rnacentral:rRNA from 1 species
AUGGCUAAGUAUUUACAGAGUGCUCCUGUUAGCCAGGGAGCAUUGCAGCACAAGGAGUUUCUCUUAGAUGGCUUGUACAUGGAGCAGCGCCCCCAAGGAUCGCCGAAUCCGAACGAGGUCAUUAUAGUGAAUCCUGGCCUUCCUAUGAAGUUUGGCUGCACCGCGGCUACUGAUUGGACAAUAUAUGAUGGCAUUGGCCCCGACAAGAAGCUUGUGGCACAUGCACAGGGGGUACUUACGGGUGCUGGUGCAACCGAAGGAACCUGGUCCCUUUGUUUUAACAUGGUGUUCGUCGAUGAGAGGUUCAAAGGUUCCAGCCUUAAGGUGCUUGGAAAUAUGAGCUCACCACUAGAAGGUGAAUGGGCAAUCCUUGGUGGGACGGGUGAGUUUGCCUAUGCGCAAGGUGUUGUCUUGUUCAAGAUCCAAAAGUUUUAUGAGCUUCAGAUCCGCGUCUUGUGCCUCAACUUCUCGUCAUCCCUAUCAUUGCCUAUAAAGAUGGGGCCAUGGGGCGGAAAUGGAGGUUUCCCUCAAGACAUGACCGCAGGAAAGCCGUUGCGUCUACGAAGUAUGAGAAUAAACAGUGGCUCGCGCAUCUUUUCGCUUGAGUUUUCUUAUGUCGACAAACUUGGGAAGGUCCGCUCUGAAGGUCCAUGGGGUGGCAGCAGCGGAGGGAACUAUCAGACUAUUGAGCUAGGCCCUAAAGAGUUUGUGAAGCAAAUAUCGGGGACAAUUGACAACCUUGUGACUGAAACUGUUAUAACUUCUCUUGUUCUCGUCACCAACAUCAGAAAGUAUGGGCCUUACGGAAGUGUGCAGGGCACAAGUUUUGAUGCCACGGUACCGGAAAAUACAUGUGUUGUGGGCUUCUUUGGCAAAUCUGGUGGUGCACUUGAUGCAAUUGGCAUUUACCAUGGUCCCAUCGCAGUUUAG